rnacentral:rRNA from 1 species
AGCAGCCGCGGUAAUUCCAGCUCCAAUAGCGUAUAUUAAAGUUGUUGCAGUUAAAAAGCUCGUAGUUGAAUUUCGGGAUCAAUAUAUCGGUCGUGCCUUUGGUACGUACUGGUAUCAUUGAUUUCUCCUUUCUGACGAAUCAUGAUGUCAUUAAUUUGGUGUUAUGAGGAGUUAGGACUGUUACUUUGAAAAAAUUAGAGUGUUUAAAGCAGGCAUUAGCUUGAAUACAUUAGCAUGGAAUAAUGAAAUAGGACGUUUGACCCUAUUUUUGUUGGUUUUUAGGAUCGACGUAAUGAUUAAUAGGGAUAGUUGGGGGCAUUAGUAUUCAAUUGUCAGAGGUGAAAUUCUUGGAUUUAUUGAAGACUAACUACUGCGAAAGCAUUUGCCAAGGAUGUUUUCAUUAAUCAAGAACGAAAGUUAGGGGAUCGAAGACGAUCAGAUACCGUCGUAGUCUUAACCAUAAACUAUGCCGACUAGGGAUCGGAUGAUGUUAAUUUUAUAAUGACUCAUUCGGCGCCUU